AGAGUUUGAUCCUGGCUCAGGACGAACGCUGGCGGCGUGCUUAACACAUGCAAGUCGAGCGGUAAGGCUCCUUCGGGAGUACACGAGCGGCGAACGGGUGAGUAACACGUGAGCAAUCUGCCCUUCUCUUCGGAAUAACCAUUGGAAACGAUGGCUAAUGCCGAAUAUGACCUCGAAUCACAUGAUCUGAGGUGGAAAGCUCCGGCGGAGAAGGAUGAGCUUGCGGCCUAUCAGCUAGUUGGUGAGGUAAUGGCUCACCAAGGCAUUGACGGGUAGCCGGCCUGAGAGGGUGACCGGCCACACUGGGACUGAGACACGGCCCAGACUCCUACGGGAGGCAGCAGUGGGGAAUAUCGGACAAUGGGCGAAAGCCUGAUCCAGCAACGCCGCGUGAGGGAUGACGGCCUUCGGGUUGUAAACCUCUUUCAGUAGGGACGAAGCGAAAGUGACGGUACCUGCAGAAGAAGGACCGGCCAACUACGUGCCAGCAGCCGCGGUAAUACGUAGGGUCCGAGCGUUGUCCGGAAUUAUUGGGCGUAAAGGGCUCGUAGGCGGUUUGUCGCGUCGGGAGUGAAAACUCAGGGCUCAACCCUGAGCGUGCUUCCGAUACGGGCAGACUAGAGGUAUGCAGGGGAGAACGGAAUUCCUGGUGUAGCGGUGGAAUGCGCAGAUAUCAGGAGGAACACCGGUGGCGAAGGCGGUUCUCUGGGCAUUACCUGACGCUGAGGAGCGAAAGCAUGGGGAGCGAACAGGAUUAGAUACCCUGGUAGUCCAUGCCGUAAACGUUGGGCGCUAGGUGUGGGGACCUUCCACGGUCUCCGUGCCGCAGCUAACGCAUAAGCGCCC
rnacentral:rRNA from 1 species